CGUCAGAUGAACGCGGGCGGCGUGCCUAAUACAUGCAAGUCGAGCGAACAGACGAGGAGCUUGCUCCUCUGACGUAGCGGCGGACGGGUGAGUAACACGUGGAUAACCUACCUAUAAGACUGGGAUAACUUCGGGAAACCGGAGCUAAUACCGGAUAACAUGUUGAACCGCAUGGUUCAACAGUGAAAGACGGUCUUGCUGUCACUUAUAGAUGGAUCCGCGCCGCAUUAGCUAGUUGGUAAGGUAACGGCUUACCAAGGCAACGAUGCGUAGCCGACCUGAGAGGGUGAUCGGCCACACUGGAACUGAGACACGGUCCAGACUCCUACGGGAGGCAGCAGUAGGGAAUCUUCCGCAAUGGGCGAAAGCCUGACGGAGCAACGCCGCGUGAGUGAAGAAGGUCUUCGGAUCGUAAAACUCUGUUAUUAGGGAAGAACAAAUGUGUAAGUAACUAUGCACGUCUUGACGGUACCUAAUCAGAAAGCCACGGCUAACUACGUGCCAGCAGCCGCGGUAAUACGUAGGUGGCAAGCGUUAUCCGGAAUUAUUGGGCGUAAAGCGCGCGUAGGCGGUUUUUUAAGUCUGAUGUGAAAGCCCACGGCUCAACCGUGGAGGGUCAUUGGAAACUGGAAAACUUGAGUGCAGAAGAGGAAAGUGGAAUUCCAUGUGUAGCGGUGAAAUGCGCAGAGAUAUGGAGGAACACCAGUGGCGAAGGCGACUUUCUGGUCUGUAACUGACGCUGAUGUGCGAAAGCGUGGGGAUCAAACAGGAUUAGAUACCCUGGUAGUCCACGCCGUAAACGAUGAGUGCUAAGUGUUAGGGGGUUUCCGCCCCUUAGUGCUGCAGCUAACGCAUUAAGCACUCCGCCUGGAGACGCCGACUGG
rnacentral:rRNA from 1 species